AUGGGAAUCCCAGACCGGGGCUUCCCUGGGGACCCCAAACUGAGGAUCCCAAAUGGGAGCAUCCCUGGGAAUCCCCAACCGGAGCAUGCCAGGGGAACCCCAAACCGGAACCUGUGGGAACCCCAAACCAGAGCAUUCCCAGGUAUCCAAAACAUUCCCGGGCACCCCAAAGCAGAGAAUCCCUGGGAAUCCCGGACUGGGGCAUCCCAGGGCACCCCAAAGCGGCUCAUCCCGAGGUAUCCGGAGCAUCCCUGGGGAUCCCAAAUCGGAGCGUCCCUGGGGACCCUGAGCAUCCCGGGGGAUCCCAAAUGGGAGCAUCCCUGGGGACUCCGAUCCAGAGCAUUCCCAGGUAUCCGGAGUGUCCCCAGUGACCCCAAAUCCGAGAAUCCUUGGGGACCCCGAGCAUCCCUGGGGACCCCAAAUCGGAGCAUCUCCAGGGACCCCAAAUCGGAGCAUUCCGGGGUAUCCAAAGCAUUCCCGGGGAUCCCAAACCGGAGGAUCCCUGGAGCUUUCCCGGCCACCGGGAGCAUUCCCAGGAGCGGGGACACGGGAGGUGCCAGCUCCGCUCCUGUCCUCCAGCUGCGGAAUUCCAGGCGGGAUCCAGCUGCGGAAUUCCAGGCGGGAUCCAGCUGCGGAAUUCCAGCCCGUCUGGCCAAGAGGAGCCGCUCCCGCCGUUCCCUCUGCACAACCUGCCGGGAGCCGGGAAAAAAUCCCGAUCCCAAAAAUCCGACCCCGCGGGGGGCGGGGUCUCCCUUGGGAAAGAAGCCGGGAAAAAAAAAAAAACCGCGGUCCCAAAAAUCCCGAGAUCUCAACACUUCACAAAGAGGGGUUCUCCCUUGGGAAUGGGGUCUCCAGGAGCCGGGAAUUUUUUGGGAACCCUCUGCACAACCUGCAGGGAGCAGGGGAAAAAUCCCGAUCCCAAAAAUCCGACCCCGCGCGGGGCGGGGUCUCCCUUGGGAAAGAAGCCGGGAAAAAAAAAAAACCGCGGUCCCAAAAAUCCCGAGAUCUCAACCUUUCCCAAAGAGGGGUUCUCCCUUGGGAAUGGGGUCUCCAGGAGCCGGGAAUUUUUUGGGAACCCUCUGCACAACCUGCAGGGAGCAGGGGAAAAAUCCCGAUCCCAAAAAUCCGACCCUGCGCGGGGCGGGGUCUCCCUUGGGAAAGGAGCCUCGGGAAGCCGGGAAAAAAACAACCCCGAUCCCAAAAAUCCCGAGAUCUCAACACUUCACAAAGAGGGGUUCUCCCUUGGGAAUGGGGUCUCCAGGAGCCGGGAAUUUUUUGGGAACCCUCUGCACAACCUGCCGGGAGCAGGGGAAAAAUCCCGAUCCCAAAAAUCCGAUCCUGCUCCUUUGGGAAAGGAGCCUCCAGGAGCCGGGAAGAAAAUCCUGA
rnacentral:lncRNA from 1 species